rnacentral:rRNA from 2 species
UGCAUAUCCAAUAAGCGGAGGAAAAGAAACCAACAGGGAUUGCCCCAGUAACGGCGAGUGAAGCGGCAACAGCUCAAAUUUGAAAUCUGGCCCUCGGGUCCGAAUUGUAAUUUGUAGAGGAUACUUUUGGCGAGGUGCCUUCCGAGUUCCCUGGAACGGGACGCCAUAGAGGGUGAGAGCCCCGUCUGGUCGGAUACCAAGCCUCUGUAAAGUUCCUUCGACGAGUCGAGUAGUUUGGGAAUGCUGCUCAAAAUGGGAGGUAUAUGUCUUCUAAAGCUAAAUAUUGGCCAGAGACCGAUAGCGCACAAGUAGAGUGAUCGAAAGAUGAAAAGCACUUUGAAAAGAGGGUUAAAAAGUACGUGAAAUUGUUGAAAGGGAAGCGCCUAUGACCAGACUUGGGCCCGGUGAAUCAUCCAGCGUUCUCGCUGGUGCACUUUGCCGGGCACAGGCCAGCAUCAGUUUGGCGCGGGGGAUAAAGGCUUUGGGAAUGUGGCUCCCUCGGGAGUGUUAUAGCCCAUUGCGUAAUACCCUGCGCCGGACUGAGGUACGCGCAUUGCAAGGAUGCUGGCGUAAUGGUCAUCAGCGACCCGUCUUGAAACCACGGACCA